GAAAAUCCAGAAAAUCACAUUGUAGAAUUUUUAAUGAAUUUAUUUGCAAAUUAUGGUGGAAAAUAAGUAUUUGGCCAAUAACAAAAGUUUAUCUCAAUACUUUGUUAUAUACCCUUUGUUGGCAAUGACAGAGGUCAAACGUUUUCUGUAAGUCUUCACAAGGUUUUCACACACUGUUGCUGGUAUUUUGGCCCAUUCCUCCAUGCAGAUCUCCUCUAGAGCAGUGAUGUUUUGGGGCUGUUGCUGGGCAACACGGACUUUCAACUCCCUCCAAAGAUUUUCUAUGGGGUUGAGAUCUGGAGACUGGCUAGGCCACUCCAGGACCUUGAAAUGCUUCUUACGAAGCCACUCCUUCGUUGCCCGGGCGGUGUAUUUGGGAUCAUUGUCAGGCUGAAAGACCCAGCCACGUUUCAUCUUCAAUGCCCCACGGGGUGAGAUCUUGCGUGGAGCCCCAGAUGGAGGGAGAUUAUCAGUGGUCUUGUAUGUCUUCCAUUUCCUAAUAAUUGCUCCCACAGUUGAUUUCUUCUAACCAAGCUGCUUACCUAUUGCAGAUUCCUUCUUCCCAGUCUGGUGCAGGUCUACAAUUUUGUUUCUGGUGUCCUUUGACAGCUCUUUGGUCUUGGCCAUAGUGGAGUUUGGAGUGUGACUGUUUGAGGUUGUGGACAGGUGUCUUUUAUACUGAUAACAAGUUCAAACAGGUGCCAUUAAUACAGGUAACGAGUGGAGGACAGAGGAGCCUCUAAAAGAAGAAUUUACAGGUCUGUGAGAGCCAGAAAUCUUGCUUGUUUGUAGGUGACCAAAUACUUAUUUUCCACCAUAAUUUGCAAAUAAAUUCAUUAAAAAUCCUACAAUGUGAUUUUCUGGAUUUUUUUCUCAUUUUGUCUGUCAUAGUUGAAGUGUACCUAUGAUGAAAAUUACAGGCCUCUCAUCUUUUUAAGUGGGAGAACUUGCACAAUUGGUGGCUGACUAAAUACUUUUUUGCCCCACUGUAAGUAGUUUUUUGGGGUAUCUGUACUUUACUAUUUAUAUUUUGCCUACUUUUACUUGACUACAUUCCUGAAGAAAAUGAUGUACUUUUUACUCCAUACAUUUUCCCUGACACCCAAAUAAUUUGUUAUGCUUAGUAGGACAGGAAAAGGGUCAAAUGAAUGCACUAAUCAAGAGAACAUCCCUGGUCAUCACUACUGCCUCUGAUCUGGAGGAGUCACGAAACACAAAUGCUUUGUUUGUAAGUCAUGUGAGUGUUGUAGUGUGCCCUUGGCUAUCCAUAAAUUAAAAAGAUUUGCUUAAUGUAAGGAAUUUGAAAUGAUUUAUACUUUUACGUUUAACUAAGUAUAUUUUAGCAAUUACAUUUACUUUUGAUACUUAAGUAUAUUUAAAACCAAAUACUUUUAGACUUACUCAAGUAGUAUUUUACUGGGUGACUUUCAUUUUUACUUGAGUCAUUUUCUGUUAAGGUAUCUUUACUUUUACUCAAGUAUGCUCAUAUCUCACCCUCCACUCCCCACUCCCUCCCACUGGCAUAUGGUUUUCUUCCACUGUUUGGUUCUCUUCUUUGUGUUGUAUCCUGACUAUACCGUCACUGUGCUGUGUAAUGUUUCCCUCUGCUGGACAACACACACACCAAAACGCUCAUAAGAAAACAUACAUUUAAUAUUGACAAACUAAAACAACCAAAAUACACACACUUUUGGAUGUACAUACACAUACUCACCCAACGAAACAAACACACACACUCACUUACCUCUCCUAAUCUCUAGGCUAUACCUCCCCUCUUUUCCACUUUCUUACACUUAAACCUAUUUGUAUGGUUUUGUAAAUAGUUAUUUUUUGUAAUGAGAAUGUGAUUUUUACACAGACACCCCACUGCUCUCCUUACAUUAAGUUGUUAUGGAGAAAUGGGAACAUUAAUCGUAUCAACUGUAUUACUAAAGACAAGAGUGUAUGUAAAGGUCCUGGUCCACUCUAAAUCAGGCCUGGAUUGGCCCUCUCCUCGUCCCAAACUGGCAGCCAUUCUGCAUCAAACCAGGUGCCCUUCUGGACCAAGGUUGGAGUCAACCAAAGAUGACUCGUGGUUUUAUGCUAACAAUAGAAUCCCCUCAUGGUUUAGUUUCUCUUGUAAUAGUUCACCUGCCAGCCCAUAUUGGGCCAGUAACCAAAAUGUUGCUGGAUCGAAUCCCCGAGCUGACAAAGUAAAAAUCUGUGGUUCUGCCGCUGAGCAAGGCAGUUAACCCACUCUUCCCCGGGCAACGAUGACAUCGAUUAAGGCAACCCCCCCCGUGCCUCUCUGAUUCAGAGGGGUUGGGUUGAAUGCAUUCAGUUGUACAGCUGACUAGGUAUCCCCCUGUGAAUGCAUUCAGCAGUACAGCUGACUAGGGGUCCCCCUGUGAAUGCAUUCAGCAGUACAGCUGACUAGGGGUCCCCCUGUGAAUGCAUUCAGCAGUACAGCUGACUAGGGGUCCCCCUGUGAAUGCAUUCAGCAGUACAGCUGACUAGGGGUCCCCCUGUGAAUGCAUUCAGCAGUACAGCUGACUAGGGGUCCCCCUGUGAAUGCAUUCAGCAGUACAGCUGACUAAGUAUCCCCCUGUGAAUGCAUUCAGCAGUACAGCUGACUAGGGGUCCCCCUGUGAAUGCAUUCAACAGUACAGCUGACUAGGUGUCCCCCUGUGAAUACAUUCAGCAGUACAGCUGACUAAGUAUCCCCCUGUGAAUACAUUCAGCAGUACAGCUGACUAGGUAUCCCCCUGUGAAUGCAUUCAGCAGUACAGCUGACUAAGUAUCCCCCUGUGAAUACAUUCAGCAGUACAGCUGACUAAGUAUCCCCCUGUGAAUACAUUCAGCAGUACAGCUGACUAGGUAUCCUCCUUUCCCUAUACACCAAAGUCAGUGAAUUAGGACAAAGUGCACUGUAUACUACUAUCACAAUCUUGAGGGGUCUGUUGCUUUUACAUUUUAAGUCAUUUAGCAGACGCUUUUAUCCAGAGCGACUUACAGAAGCAAUUGUGGUUAAGUGCCUUGGUCUAGGGCACCUUGUCAUCUCGGGGAUUCGAACCAGUGACCUUUCAGUUACUGGCCCAGCGCUCUUAACUGCUAGGCCAAAACUGACAGCAGCUACAAAAUACUACACAGAUGGCUUGACUAUGUUUGGGUCAGAAUGUGUGUUCCUUGGUGCACAUACAAAUACAUCUGCAGUUUGAUUUAGUUCUAUUUUAAAAUAAUAAGACGAUAAAUAAUGCAGUAACAAAAGAAAAGUGUUCUGAGUUUUAACACUUCAUUUCAUCUUGUUACAACGUACCCUCUGUUUUGUAAAGAUUUGUCUGAUGAGAACAAUAAAUGGAUAUUGCAAUAAAAAGGAUGUUGAGUGUUCGCUCUUGCCUUUUAUGAGGGCAGGACACAUUCUGUUUUACUGUCAUUGAUUUUAUCCUUUGACCAAUCACAAUGCUGAUUGUUGCUCAAACGUGGCCCAGGGUGUGGAUCAUAGCCAACAGGAAUGUCUUAUACUUUUUAAUCACUGUUCUCAUUUUAUUUUCUCUAUUGGACAUAAUAUGCACUUCUGCCUCAGCAACAAUCUCUAAAGGUUUGAGAAGAACAUAAUAGUAGGGUUACUCCCACCUGCUGGUGAGAGAUACGCAUUACAUGUAAAUCAUUUAUAUUAUUAGUCAAUGCAGAGCUGCAAAGUCUGAGUUGAUAACUCUCUAACCUCUGUGAAUAUACAAGUUGUUUUGGAAGAUUAAAUAUUCACUUAC
ensembl:lncRNA